rnacentral:rRNA from 1 species
AGUGAACGCUGGCGGUAGGCCUAACACAUGCAAGUCGAACGGCAGCACAGUAAGAGCUUGCUCUUACGGGUGGCGAGUGGCGGACGGGUGAGGAAUACAUCGGAAUCUACUUUUUCGUGGGGGAUAACGUAGGGAAACUUACGCUAAUACCGCAUACGACCUACGGGUGAAAGCAGGGGAUCUUCGGACCUUGCGCGAUUGAAUGAGCCGAUGUCGGAUUAGCUAGUUGGCGGGGUAAAGGCCCACCAAGGCGACGAUCCGUAGCUGGUCUGAGAGGAUGAUCAGCCACACUGGAACUGAGACACGGUCCAGACUCCUACGGGAGGCAGCAGUGGGGAAUAUUGGACAAUGGGCGCAAGCCUGAUCCAGCCAUACCGCGUGGGUGAAGAAGGCCUUCGGGUUGUAAAGCCCUUUUGUGGGGAAAGAAAAGCAGCAGGUUAAUACCCCGCUGUUCUGACGGUACCCAAAGAAUAAGCACCGGCUAACUUCG